rnacentral:misc_RNA from 1 species
GUCGAUAGCCUCGGAGUACGUCUCGUCGUCCUGCAGCCAACGAAUUCAGGCACGAGCUGCUACAUCGCUGUACCUGU